rfam:Catenovulum agarivorans DS-2 contig93, whole genome shotgun sequence.
AGCUUUUUUCGCCCAGGCGGAGCUCGACCGCAAACCGAAAUAAUGGUUGAAUUUAUUGACGAAAAUCGUGAACUUUAUGGUGUCGAGCCAAUUUGUGAACACUUACCAAUUGCACCA